rnacentral:rRNA from 1 species
UACGAGGGGGGCUAGCGUUGUUCGGAAUUACUGGGCGUAAAGCGCACGAAGGGGGAUUGAUAAGUCAGGGGUGAAAUCCCGGGGCUUAACCUCGGAAUUGCCGUUGAAACUGUCUGUCUUGAGUCCGGGAGAGGUGAGUGGAAGGCCUAGUGUAGAGGUGAAAUUCGUAGAUAUUGGGAAGAACACCAGUGGCGAAGGCGGGUCUCUGGUCCGACACUGACACUGAGGCGCGAAAGCUUGGGGCGCGAACAGG